AUUGAACGCUGGCGGCAGGCCUAACACAUGCAAGUCGAGCGAGUGGCGGACGGGUGAGUAAUGUCUGGGGAUCUGCCCGAUGGAGGGGGAUAACUACUGGAAACGGUGGCUAAUACCGCAUACUAUCGGAUGAGCCAAGAUGGGAUUAGCUAGUAGGUGGGGUAAAGGCUCACCUAGGCGACGAUCCCUAGCUGGUCUGAGAGGAUGAUCAGCCACACUGGAACUGAGACACGGCCCAGAAUCCUACGGGAGGCAGCAGUGGGUAAUAUUGCACAAUGGGCGCAAGCCUGAUGCAGCCAUGCCGCGUGUAUGAAGAAGGCCUUAGGGUUGUAAAGUACUUUCAGCGGGGAGGCGUUACCCGCAGAAGAAGCACCGGCUAACUCCGUGACAGCAGCCGCGGUAAUUC
rnacentral:rRNA from 1 species